AUUGAACGCUGGCGGCAGGCCUAACACAUGCAAGUCGAGCGGAUGAAGGGAGCUUGCUCCUGGAUUCAGCGGCGGACGGGUGAGUAAUGCCUAGGAAUCUGCCUGGUAGUGGGGGAUAACGUCCGGAAACGGGCGCUAAUACUGCAUACGUCCUGCGGGAGCAAGUGGGGGAUCUUCGGACCUCAUGCUAUCAGAUGAGCCUAGGUCGGAUUUGAUAGUUGGUGGGGUAAAGGCCUACCAAGGCGACGAUCGGUAACUGGACUGCUUGGAUGAUCAGUCACACUGGAACUGAGACACGGUCCAGACUCCUACGGGAGGCAGCAGUGGGGAAUAUUGGGCAAUGGGCGAAAGCCUUAUCCAGCCAUGCCGCGUGUGUGAAGAAGAUCUUCGGAUUGUAAAGCACUUUAAGUUGGGAUGAAGGGCAGUAAGUUAAUACCUUGCUGUUUUGACGUUACCAACAGAAUAAGCACCGGCUAACUUCGUG
rnacentral:rRNA from 1 species